GUGCUCCCUUUGGCAGCACAUAUACAAAAAUUAGAACAAUACAGAGAGGAUUAGCAUGGCCCCUUUGCAAGGAUGACACGCAAAUUCAUGAAGCAUUCCAUAUUUUU